UUUUAUAUUAAAGAGUUUAUUUAAUCUUCUUGAGAGCUGAUGUGAAGCAAAGUAUUAAGAAUAAUUUUGCUAACCCAUCAUCAGGAGCCAGUUGGAAUUCUCAUAAGAAUUUUGGCACAUUCUCAAUCUUCCUGAUGAUUCCUUCUCUGGAAACUAGGCAUGGAGAGUGACGGAGAUGCUCUUCCUUACUGGUGUGGCAGAGGGAAGCUUGAGAGAUAUAAUUGCCUAGGUUCCACUGAGUCUGAAGCUGUGGGCCUGAGCAUGUGAUAUCCUCCCCAAGGACUUAUGAAUGGAUAAAGAAACUGUGGUAUAUAUACAC